rnacentral:rRNA from 1 species
AUGAACCGCUAUGGUAUGCCAUUCAUACCUUUUGUUGGUCUUAACAACCACCGGAAGACCACUGUUUUUGGUUGUGCCAUAGUUUCGGACGAGACCGAGGAGACAUACGUGUGGCUUCUGCAGACGUUUUUGAGGUCCAUGUGUCAAAAGAUGCCUAAGAGUGUAAUCACAGACGCCGACGCUGCGAUGAUCAAGGCAAUUCGCGAAGUCUUGCCAGACGUGUGGCACCGUAUAUGUACGUGGCACAUAGAGAAAAAUAUGAAGAUUCACCUCAGUCACAAGUCCUUGAAGGAGUUUCGAACUCUUCUG